ACUAAUGCACCUAUCUCUGCAGCCAACUCCUUUAAGACUCAGUGGUGCAGACUAUCACAUCCAAGGGUCUUGUCAUAUUUUUUCAAGAGAAAGAGAUUGUUUUAAGUUCCUUCCUCCCUAAAACCACUUGAUAUCUGAUGUUUUGGAGAUUUUACCAUAAGACAAAUCUGAAGGCAAGAAUAGAAGAGUAACAAUUGAGGAUAUGAUGCUGCCUGACCUGCUGAGUUCCUUCAUCAUUGAGUGUGUGUUUUGGAUUUCUAGCACCUGCAGACAUUCUAGUGUUCAUCAUGUCUCUGGCUGAUACUGUCUGACCUGCAAAAUUCCUCCAGCAUUUUGCGUGUGUUGCUCUGGAAUUCCAGCAUCUGGAGAAACUCUGUGAUUAGAAAACAAAUUGUACAAGACAGUUCUUACACUACAGUCAGAGCUGCUCUUUCUAUGAUGCAAGGAAAUUAUGUAUUGACCCCAGUAGCUACCAAUUGAUUCCUCAAGUUGACAAUUACACUUCUGGCCAAUGACUGAAUCCUUUAGCAGAUGAUUGACAUCUCUAGUCACUGACUCAUUCUUCCAGCUGAUGAUUGGUUCCUGCAAAUGAUGAUUGAUGGCUCCAGCUGAUAACUAAUUCCUUCAGCUGUUGAUUGAACCUUCAGCAGUCAUUGACAGUCCCAUCUGAUGAAUGAUUCCUUCACCUGAUGAUUGGAUCCUACAGCUGAUGAUUGACACCCCCAGCGGUCAUUGACAGCUCCAGCUAACGACUGAUUCCGCCAGCUGUUGAUUGACGACUCAAGUAUGUGUAUACCCUCCAUGACUAACUCUUGCUGCUGAUCAUGAACUUCUGAGUGACUCUACCAACUGAUUGUUGAUUUUUCCAGCAGUUGAUUGAAUCUAGCAGCUGAUUUUGAUUCAUCCAUCUGAGGACUGAAUCCACCAACCAUAUGUAGACUGCAAUAGCUGAUGUCUCAGUCCCCAGACUGUUGAUUGAUUCCCUCAGUUACAGAUUGACUCCGUAAACUAUAGAUUGAAUCCAUCGAUUGACUCCUCCAGUAGAUUAUUGACUCCUCCAAUAGAUUAUUGAUUCCUGCUGUAAAUUAUAGUUCUGAUGUAGGGUCUCAGCUUGAAAUUUCAACUGUUUACUCUUUUCCAUAGAUGCUGCCUGACAUGCUGAGUUCCUCCAACAUUUUGUGUGUGUGUGUUGCUUGGAUUUCCAGCAUCUGCAGAUUUUCUCAUAUUUAUCUCCAACAGCACUUAUUUCAUUCUCAGCAAUACACACAAAGUGCUGGAGGAACUUAGAAGGUCAGGCAUCAUCUAUGCAAACGAAAAGUCCUGGAGAAGGGUCUUGGCCCGAGACAUCAGCUGUUUAUUCAUUUCAUUAGAUACUACCUGACCUGCUGAGUUCCUCCAGCCUUUCGUAUGUGUUUCUUUGGAUUUCCAGCAGCUGCAGAUUUUCUUGUGUUCUUGUGUUCAACCAAAUAAUCACCAACACCAAUAUCUGUUUGCAUCCACCCCAAGAGUUAACAGUUGGUCUGAUUAGUUCCACUGGCUGCUUCACUUUCACUUUGAGCUGUUAAGCUGCUGGUGAUAACUGAGCUCCUUGUCUUGGCCCCGAGCAACUGGAAAACAUAAUGCCAUUGAGUUCUCAAAGUGGACUAGCUGCAUAUUCUUCAAUAGGAUCAGCAGAAUUGUGUGUGGUUUAAUGAGGGGGAAGAGAUAAUAGAAGUUGCAGCUCAAUGACUAUUGAAGGAAACCUUCAGGACUUGAACCUCCAAGGCAACCAGAGUGAUGACUGGUGUUUGAACUUCCUAGCUGUUACACCACGGAAUGUCUUUCAUUAUCUGGAAAUAACUUCUCAAAUUCACCCUUUGAUUUUGCGUUGCAUGAGGAAACAAUGGCAGCAACCCAGAGACAAAAGUAGAUUGGGUAUUUUCUCUGUCAUUCAAUAAUUGUUAUUUAUUCACUUUAAUGAGAUUAUUGACUGUCUAGGGAAGGAUCUGAGACUAAUUAAAUGAAAUUACACCUGAAAAUCAGGACAGAUGAACCAUACAAUAACGAUUCUGUAUUAAGUCAUCUGUUUUGAGUCCAUUCUGUUGCCAUCAAAUAAACGUAGCAAAAAAAAAAUCAAAGACCUACUGUUCCAAACAGAAUCAAUUUUAAAACAUAAAACAUAGAAAUCUGGAAUGCACUACAGGCCCUUCAGCCCACAAUAUUGUGCCAAUCAUGUAACCUGCUCUAGAAACUGCCCAGAAUUUCCCUGCCGCAUAGCCCUCUAUUUUUCUAAGCUCCGUGUACCUAUCCAUGAGUCUUUUAAAGGACCCAAUUGUAUCCACCUCGACUACCAUCAUUGGCAGUGCAUUCCACACACCCACCACUCUUUUUGUGGAAAACUUAACCCUGACACCCACUUUGUACCAACUUCCAUCCAAGAACUUUAAAAAUAUGCCCCUAUGUCAUUUUCUAUGCCUCGAUUAUAAAUUGACCUAGCAAUUUUAUUGUAGUUAAUUAAUUCAUGUGCUCUUUAUUAUGAAAUUUAUCUCUAUCUCAGACAUCUUUCCAUCAAUAGAGAGAAGCAUUUCAUCCUUAUUAUAGAGAGUGGAUUUGAAUUAAAACUCAAUCUCAAAAAAUGCUUGGAAUUUCAUCAAAAUCUGAACAAGACAUCUUCCCAAAUUUGGAACCAUUUCUCAAGGCCAAUGAAGAAAAUAGACUGUAAUGUUUUGUUUCAUCAGAAUGGAUUUAAUUUUUGAAUUAACAUGAUUAAAAAUUGAAAGCGGUCUAUGCAGUUUCAGAAUUCUGGUGAUUAAAAUCAUUUCCUUGAGUCUUUUACUGAGAAAUUAUUAAAUGUGUCGCAAUAUUGAUUGAUUGCUCUGAAUGAGCUAUUUAAAGUCACAAGGACUACUGAUGAUAGUUUGAUGUAAUCAAAUUACAGCCCACUGAAGGGAUGAUCAAUAUAUUAUACCAUGGACACUGUAGAAUUUGAUUAGAAGUAGCACAAUUUACAAAGAUGUUUGAUUUUCAUGCAAGUCACCAACAACAGAAAGAUUAUAUUCCUUUAGCGAAUGUAAUCAUCUCCAAAUGAGAAAGUAAUGAAGAUCUAUCAUCAUUGUUUAUCAGAUUUUUCAAGGAGCUAUAGAGCAAUUAGACCUCAAGAGAUAGGAUCUAUGACCAGAAUUCUUUCUAUUCCUAUGUGCUAUUGAAAGAAGAAAAACUGUCUUUUUGUCAAACAGAUGAUUUUUUCAAAAGAUUGUGCAAUUUUGCAAAUCUGCUUUAAGUCUUGGUGAAAUUUGGAGAAAAGGAUUUGGUUUUAACACCCAGACAAUAUGUUGGAGAAGUAUGUGGUCUAUCAGGUCACAGAGAUGUCAGUAAGGACAAGGACUGAUAAAGCACCAUGAUGAUGGUUACCAUUAAUUGUUCCAUUGUGAAUGACCCUUAUUAGUUCAGUAUGCUAUGUGAGGAGGAUGCACUGAGAAUUUAGGGAGAUAGAGAUACUUUUGACAAAGGAGUUUCACCCUGAAAUAUAACUCUGCUUCUCUUCCCAUAGUUGUUGCCUGACCGGCAGAUAUUUCCAGAAUUCCACAUAAAGAUACGGUGUUAAAGAAUGUGACAGGCCUUCAUUGGUUGGUAUAAAGCUUCAGUUAGGCCACAUUUGGAGGAUUUGCAUCACAGGAAUGAUAUGGCAGUUUUUAAAGCGGGUGCAGAAGAGGUUUACCAGGAUGUUACUUGAAUUUGAAUGUAUUCACUGUAAAGAGAGAUUGGACAACAUAUUCAAAAUGCCAGAGGAAUUCAGCAGGCCAGGCAGCAUCUAUGGAAAAGCGUAAACAGUCAAUAUUUCGGGCCGUGACCCUUUAUCAAGACUUCUUUUCAUGACAGGCAUAUGAACAGGCAUUGGAAGGAGGGAUAUAGAUCAAGUGCAGGCAGAUGGGAUUCAUUUAAAUUUUUAUCAUGGUCAGCACAGUCAUAGUUGGCUGAAGAGUCUAUUCUUUUUCUGUACUGUUCUAUGUUGGAUAUGUUCUUAUUGAAUGAUUAAGAAUGCAUAAGGGUCUUGUGUUUACAUGUUCUUUAUUUAUCAGAUUAUAACCAAAUGAAAUAUAGCACCAUUAGUUCUGAAUGCACCAGGUUUUAUAUGAAUAUUUCUAGUUGCCUACUUUCCAAAGUGUUUGCUUUUUCAUUGGGUUUGUGCUCUUCCAAAUUGUUGAAAGCCUUGCUUUGUUCUGUAUCUCUAUUGCCUACACAUUUCUGCAUCCAGGAUAAUCUUAUUUCACCAAUUUCCUGUUGUGCAAUCCAGUAUAUGCUUUAGGUUAAAUAAUUGAUGCACGUCCCCUGAAUUCAACUGCAAUUUCGCACAACAUCUGGUGGACUUUAAUAGUACUGAAGAUACAAUGUUUUGGAAAUUAUGGACAAUCCACAGGGAAUGGAGACGACAACUUUACUGCAAGAGUGUCUAUUUUUUUAUAUAUUUUAUAGUCAUUGGAUCACUGGAUGUGUUUCUUUACUGGAUAUAAUUAAUGAAUAUCUCAUAAAAAGACAUACUUUUACUACACCUACAGGGCCUUCAAAAUCAAGGACUAGUCUUUGAAGAGCAAUAAUUCCUUUUUGUGCAGUGACUGCUGUAAUGUAUGGAAUACAGGAGACAAUUUCAGAACAGCAGGAACCCACGAAGAGUGAGAACUUAAAGAUGAGAUUUUUUUUUCAUAUAGUCAUACUGAGUAAGGAGUAAAUAUUGGCAGGGACACUGAGGACACCUCCCCUUAUUUGCUGUGAAAUUGUCUUGUGGGAUCUGUUGCACCCGACUGAGAAUCAAACAAGUUAACAUCAAAUCCAAAAGAUGGAGGGGCUUCUCUCCAACUGUGGCAUACUGUUAAUACUGUACUGGAUUGUCAGCAUGAUCUCCCCAGUACUGCAAGAAUCGUCAAUUCUUCCAAGAUUUUUUUUUACUUUGGCUUCUACAUUGCUCUGAAAAAGCAUAUUAUACUGUAAAUCUGGUCCUGGAACUAUGGUGUUAUUUUCCAGCAAGUGCACUACUUCAGUACUUAGUGAGUAAUGUCUUUCUUAACAUCUCUAUGGAUUUUACUUGAGAUUGCCCACUUUCAUUGUGCACACCAUCUCUCCGUUAAAAGAAUAGGAUACCUCUACAUGCUGUUCAAAAACAUAAAUGUGGUUCUGGAUGUGCACUUGAAUUUUGCACUGUUUCCACUACCAACACCAUCCCACCAUUCAGUUGAAAUAUUGCAUCUGUUCUAAUUGGGACCAGGAAGCAUUUGUUGCAUUAGUUCACAGCAACCCGUGUUAGUUUAGUUCCUUUUAUCACCCCUUUGAUCUAAUCUUUUCUGACAACUUCAACAGAAGCGUAAGAGGGGUAGUGUAACAUUAACAGCAGGGACACCACAAUGAGUAUCUUUUUGCUGCAUCUCAGAAUGAGGUAAUGCACGGCUAAUAUUACUGGUUGACAGAGUAACCUGUUGGCAUCAGGACAAAGAGUCUUAUAAAACAGUGAGCUAAAUGAGUGAUAUGCAUUACUGAGCGAUGUGUAUGAGAAACGUUCCAGUGAAUAUCAUUCAGUGCUCAUGAUUAUUUUAGAUUUAAAACUCUUGUUUCUGUUAAACUGAAUACUUCCACAGCACACAUAGAGUUUAGUACACUUCUAUAUUUAUCAAUUGCUUUCUACAUUUCAAGGUUGUUUCACAUUCAUUAAAACUGCAGAAGUAUAGAUUGAUACAUAAAAGGGUUGCUUUUUGUUAUGCUUAGUAUUGACUGAAUAGGUAGGUUAAGUAAAAAUCUAUCUAGAAAUCAACCUUGUUUUCAAAUGAGUGGAAUUUUGAUUUCAAGCCAACAAUGUACAUUAAAAAAAUCAUUGAUGCAGAUCUCCCUCCAGUAUUUCUCCUCUCUCUUACCAUUUCCCCAAAUUUUGAGUCCCAUGUCAGUUUGCACUGC